rnacentral:rRNA from 1 species
UACUUUGAGAGAGAGUAAACAGUGCGUGAAACCGCCCAGAGGUAAACGGGUGGAGUUGAACUGCAUGCUCUGUGAAUUCAGCUGGUGAGGAUGGUUUGAACUUGGUCAAAUGGGUUGGCACUGAGGUAUGCUUAGCUGCAUGUCCCGGUCUUUCGGUUGGGAUGCGCGUUGCGCUUAUCAAGCGUUGUGCGCCUCAGUUGUUAUUCCUACCCCCUUGUCAGUGCACUUUCUCAGAGCGGUCACCACGACCGGCGUUGCUGUCUGACUGUCCCGGUUAAACCGGUCAUUCAGUGUCCACGUGGCGUUGUUUGAUCGGGAUGGCAGGUAACUCGACUGCUUGCUUUGUCAUGCUUUCGGGUGUAAUCGGCUGACCGGAGCGGGAUUGUGCAGUACGUCGGAGACGGCGGUCAUUGGUGUGUGCAAGCGAUCCGUACCUUCUGGGGAUUCCUGGUUUGGUUGCUAUGUCGCCUGUUGAUUCAGGUCGAGUAAUGGCCGGGAUUCUUUCGGUUGGUGGUGACGCAUGUGGCACUAAUCCGGGGCCAAUAGUCUGUGGUGUUGUGGUAGACUAUCCACCUGACCCGUCUUGAAACACGGACC